CCGGGGGAAUGAGGGCUUUAAAAGGUUCCUCGGGGAGGCUCCCCGGCUCCAAGCUCACCGCCUGCCUGCCCCCGGACACCUCUGUCAUCAUGUGCUUCCCGGUUCUGUGCCUUGCCCUGUCCCUGGCAGGGACUGGCGCUGUGCCCCUCAUCCAGUCCCGGAUCAUAGGAGGCCAUGAGUGUAGGAAGCAUUCCCAGCCCUGGCAGGUGGCUCUGUACCGCUUCAGCAGCUUCCAGUGCGGAGGUGUCCUGGUGGCCCCCCAGUGGGUGCUCACAGCUGCUCACUGCAGGAGCGACAAUUACCAGCUCUGGCUGGGUCGCCACAACCUGUUUGAGGACGAAGACACAGCCCAGUUUGCCCAUGUCAGUAAGGACUUUCCACACCCCGAUUUCAACCUGAGCCUCCUGAAGAACGACACCCUCCCCACGGGGGAGGACUACAGCCAUGACCUCAUGCUGCUCCGCCUGGAGGGGCCCGUCCAGAUCACAGAGGAUGUGCAGGUCCUGGAGCUGCCCACCAAGGAACCCCAACUGGAGAGCACCUGCUAUGCCUCUGGCUGGGGCAGCAUCGAACCAGCUAAGUUCAUUUACCCAGAUGAUCUCCAGUGUGUGGACCUUACUGUCCUGCCCAGUGAGGUGUGUACCAGUGCCCACUCCGAGAAGGUGACAGAGUUCAUGCUGUGUGCUGGACACCUGGAGGGCGGCAAGGACACCUGCGUGCCCCUAGAAUGAUUGUUUUUUCCUGACUGGAUCCUGCCUUGCCACUACAUGGAGACUUGAGAAUGAAGCCCACUCAACACCUUUGAACACCAGUCCGACGUUUGGGGAAUUUCCCAAUGUUUGUAUCCACACUUCCCGGCAAGGAAACCAGCCUCUUACUGCUAGGACCUCAGCAUGCGACCAGGUUCCACCAACGAAAUACAGCCACGCUAAACUUGGAAUCAGCAGCCAGGAGAAAUAGCCGUGAAAUCUAUUCUAGUCGGGGUGGCUGCAACUACCUCCAGGGUCCUGGGGCAGCAGAGAAAGAGGUUCCCCAGGGGAGUCCAGGCCUGGAGAGACUGGGUUCCACACGUCAAGCUCCAGUGUGUGUGACCAGUCAGCCAGUCCUGAUUACUCAGUCCCUGGAGCCCAGUUCCCUGGCCUCACAGAGAGUCUAUAAGCGCCGCAGUAUCCUGGGUAAAUCUAUUUUCUGCUUAAACCAGCUUGAAUUGGCUUCUGCUGCUUGUCAUGAGAAUCCUGACUUCCAUAUGGGGAGCGUAUAUCAAAGCCUUACAAGAUUUCAUCAGCCCUUUGGAAGCACUGCUAUUCUGCUCUUGGGAAUAUAUCCCCCAAGAGGAAUCAUGCUCAAAGAAAGUACUGUAAACAGAGGGAGAAAUUGUGCCCAGUUGCCUUUGCCCACCCAGCAUCCAGUCCCGUUCUUCUGGCAAGAGCAACCUGAUAUUGUCCGGAGGAACUCUCUGCCCACCCUCUGUCCUUGGGAUUCUGACAGAAAUGACCCCCUCCGUUGACUCUUUAAGAAAAGCAUGUGAUUCAGACCCAGGCAAACACAGCAUGACGUCCUCCUGACCAUAGCAAAUGAUUCAGGGAGGAGUGAGAAAUCCCAGGGCAGUUAAUCUGAGCCCAUCGGAGCUAAUGCUGAGACCUCUGUGUGAGGGCCACAGAAGAAAACGUAUUCUCUUUUCUUCAUCGUUGCUUACAGGAAAAAAAUGGGACCCGGGAGCUGCUGAGAGCCCCACUGCCACUGUGUGAGCACAGCUUGCCUGAGGGCCCAACACAAAGGAAUCCUUCAAGGAGAGAUGGCAAGAGACGGGUACCUUUUGAGCACCUGGAUGCCGAAGCGGGGACAAUUUAUGCCUGCAGACUUUUCCAUAACUUGAAACCAGCUUGAGUUUGAGAGGUAUGAGAGACAGAGAUACUCAGAAUAAAUAAAUAAGAUUAAUACCACACAAUA